rnacentral:tRNA from 1 species
GUUUUAAUAGUUUAUAAAAAAUAUUGAUUUUGUAAAUCAAAGAAAAAUAAAUAUUUUUAAAACU